rnacentral:lncRNA from 1 species
AUUUUCAAUUGUUGUUUAAUGCGCUAAGGUUAUUUAUUUGAUUUAAAUAUUGGGGGAAAACCCCUUUAAUAAGGCCUCAUAUCAUGCUCGCGGAGAAAUAUACAUGAAAUUUACAUUUCCCUGUUGAAACUCACACUCGAUGGUGAAUGAAAUCGUUUGAGCAUGGACUAAAAUAUCAUCAUAAGCACAAAACAUAAUGAAUUAUAGGUUGCUAACAAAAAAUAUUAACAAAUGAAAUAUGUUUUUCCAUUAAUUGCAAAAGAAACAAGGUUGAGUCGGUCCAUUCAUCGUUGUAUGCAAUUGAAACAAGAACAGGUUGAAGAGGUCGUAUGAAUAAUUAAAUAUAAUUUAGGCAACUUCUAUUUAAAUAUUCAUGAGGAAAAAUGAUAUCGGGUCAGUGACUGUAUAUGACAUGGAAAUAUACAGUCAACGCAUUUUGACUGCUGAAAUAGAACGAGUGCAGUAUAAACACC